AGGAUGAACGCUGGCGGCGUGCCUAAUACAUGCAAGUCGAGCGGUAAGGCCCUUCGGGGUACACGAGCGGCGGACGGCUGAGUAACACGUAGGAACCUACCCCAAACUGAGGGAUAAGCACCAGAAAUGGUGUCUAAUACCGCAUGUGCUCUUCGGAGUAAAGCUACGGCGGUUUGGGAAGGGCCUGCGCAUGAUUAGCUUGUUGGUGAGGUAACGGCUCACCAAGGCGACGAUGGGUAGCUGGUCUGAGAGGACGAUCAGCCACACUGGGACUGAGACACGGCCCAGACUCCUACGGGAGGCAGCAGUGGGGAAUUUUGCGCAAUGGGGGAAACCCUGACGCAGCAACGCCGCGUGGAGGAUGAAGUCCUUCGGGACGUAAACUCCUUUCGAUCGGGACGAUAAUGACGGUACCGGAAGAAGAAGCCCCGGCUAACUUCGUGCCAGCAGCCGC
rnacentral:rRNA from 1 species